rnacentral:tmRNA from 1 species
GGGGCCGACCUGGUUUCGACGUGGGUACGGACUCGGAGUGGGGCACGCCGAGCAUCAGUGAGCUCGUAAAUCCAGCUGAAAACAAACCAACUGCGAACGAAGAACGUUUCGCCCUCGCCGCUUAACACCGGUGAGCCUCUCAACGGCAGGCCGAUGGGCCGGGCCCGCAAGGGCUGAGAGGUCAUGCACAUCGGCUGGUUCUGAGCUGCGUCACGCAGCGCUGAACGAGAUCUAGUGACUGGCGCUGUCCGUAGCGUGCUCCUGCGCGACGGUAGCGUAAGACUCAAAUCAGAGAGCUAAGCGUGUAGAUCUGCCCGGGAAUGGCUUGCGGACGGGGGUUCGAUUCCCCCCGGCUCCACCA